AACAAAGAGAGGUGGGACCAAACGCCAGGAAGGGGUGAAUCUGCCUAAAAGCAACCCCUGGCUUGUCACUGGGCUCUGGAGGAGACAACUGACCAUGGGACACCAGGUGACCGGAUACCGGAUACGUGCCAUUCGUGAACUGGGUGUUAUCUGACCCACUGGGCCAUAAAAUUGGAAAUUCCAACAAGUGCGCAACUAUUACAGAAAGAUGAUUUAUUGGUCUACACGGGCCCCUACCGAACAGUUUCUGAAGGCACAAAUAAGGCCCACCGGCCAAGUCACUUGUGCCCCCCAGCAUGUGUACCUUGGCAACCUCACCUGUACCCAAUGCUUCGUGGCAGAUUCCCAAUGACCGCCUGACUAAAUUCAGGCCGGAUUUAGAUGGCCCUGAACCAUAUCCCCACGAUGGACUAUCGCAGUGAUUAUGGUCCUCUUUAGGGGUAGCCCUGAACACUGGGGAAAGGAAACCAUCCCAGGGGGCAGCACUUGGCCUGCAGGAGGAACUGGCCUGGAGUAAGGCCCCACAUCGAUCCAUGGAGUGGCUGACGGUGGCCAUAUGGUCAGAGAUAAUCCCAAGGUUAAAAACAAACCAAACAAACCCACAACUGUGUAUAGUUUUAGGCUGAUUUCACUAAAUAUGAUUAUAUGCAGUGGUAAAAUUAAAACUAUGUA